rnacentral:rRNA from 1 species
UAGGGAAUCUUCCGCAAUGGGCGAAAGCCUGACGGAGCAACGCCGCGUGAGUGAUGAAGGUCUUCGGAUCGUAAAACUCUGUUAUUAGGGAAGAACAAAUGUGUAAGUAACUAUGCACGUCUUGACGGUACCUAAUCAGAAAGCCACGGCUAACUACGUGCCAGCAGCCGCGGUAAUACGUAGGUGGCAAGCGUUAUCCGGAAUUAUUGGGCGUAAAGCGCGCGUAGGCGGUUUUUUAAGCCUGAUGAGAAAGCCCACGGCUCAACCGUGGAGGGUCAUUGGAAACUGGAAAACUUGAGUGCAGAAGAGGAAAGUGGAAUUCCAUGUGUAGCGGUGAAAUGCGCAGAGAUAUGGAGGAACACCAGUGGCGGAGGCGACUUUCUGGUCUGUAACUGACGCUGAUGUGCGAAAGCGUGAGGAUCAAACAGG